rnacentral:lncRNA from 1 species
UUGAAUUAGCCUUGAAAUAUUCCUGUUUUCAGCCCCUCAUUAUUUGUAAAAUUUACAUUUUCAACCCUUUUUAUUAAAUACUUCCCGGUUUGGUCCUUAAACUAUUUUUCUUGACAUUUUAACACCAAAAAUUAUUGAAAUUAAUAUUUUUCAGCAUAUUUUUCAUAGAAAACAGUUUAAGUCCCUGAAAAUGCAUUUUUCUCGGUUUUAACCCUUCUUUUCGCAAUUUUGACAAUUUUGGCCCAAAUUGGAAAAUUUUUGCAACUUUGGUCCUUUUUAAAUUUAAAAAGCAUUUUAAACCUUUGAAAAGGAUUUGGGACACUUAUAGUCCACUGUUUUACAGAAAAUUACAGUUUUGGCCCUCCAAAACAGAAAAAUUCGCAUAAUGGGCCUCAUUGGGCCGAAAAUGUCAUUUUUAGCCCAUUAAGCUUGAAAUUUAUGUUUUUAAUCCUCUAAUUGAGUAUAAUUCCAGAAAUAAUUUUAUGGAAACUGUUUUGGCACACUUCAUCCAUCAGAAUCUGUGAAAUGUCAAUUUGGGCCCUUAAUUUUGUAUUUUUCACAUUUUAGGCCCAAAAUUUGUGUUUUUAAUCCAAAGAAAAUUAUUACUAAACUACUUAGCCAUUUUUCUUGAAACACUUUGUAUGUAGAAAUAUAUUUGAAGCUAAGAUCAUAAAACAUAAGUUAUAUCUCGGUUUUGAGGGGUUUUAUGGCUAGAUCCAACAUUAAAACACAUAAAAGCAUACAUAUAAGCAUGGAAAUCAUACAAGGCAUACAAAACACAUAUAGAUCUACACUUUCACUUGUAUCCCCCCCCCACAAAACUCAUAAAAACAGAAAAUAGGGGGUAUGAAGCUCACCUUGGGUGUGGGGGCUCGGUUUUGCAAAGAAAAUGGAAGGAAAAUGAAGUGUUUUUGGCCUUAGCUCCCUUCCUUGGUAGAUCUCGAGUUUGAGAUGGUUCUAGGGUGCAAGAUCACGAUUUUUGCAUGGAUUAGGAAGAGAUUUUUGAUAAAUAAGGAAUACAAGUCAUAGAUCCAAGCAAAACCUUACCUUAGAUGAUGAUUUUUGUGGAAGAACUUCCUUGAAUGCUUCCUAAUUUUCGAGAUUUUGGAUGGAGAAGAAGGGAGUGUUCUUGAGAGAGAGUUGAGAGAUUUUUGUGGUGUGUGUGUGUGUGUGUAUGGCCGAGAGUGAGAGAGGAGAGAAGAAGAAGUGACCUUGAUAUGAUGCUUGCUUGGAAACAUGAGUUAUGUGCAUGGAAAAAUGAGAAUAAUGCAUGGAUAUCCUAUGGGUAAAGAUGAGGUGUCAUUUGAAAGUCAACUCUUUCUUGGAUUUGGGCCUUGGGCUGAGAAUGUGAAGGGAAAAAGGAAAAAUUUGGGCUUUUACCCCUAAGCCCACUAUUAGAGGUAGUUUGGGUGCUUAUUAGCCUUAUAAAAUAAAAUUGUGAUUUUUAUGCUUUAAUAAGCUAGGUUAGGUUAAAUUAUGGAUCAAAGCUUGUGAUUUAUUUCAUUCUAGGCCCAAUAUGACUCAAGAUAUUGAAAUAAAUAAGUGUGGGUCCAAUUAGAGCCCAAUUAGGGUUCUAAGCCCAUGAUAGUCUAAUUGGAAGCUUAUUGGUCCAUUUGAAUCCAAUAAGGAAGUUCUAGUCCAAAAUAGACCUAACAAGAACUUCUAGGGUUUUCCAAUUGUUUGAGGACUAUUUGUAGUAUUUGUAUGAUGUAUUUGAUUGAAGUUUUUGAUUCACAAUAACUUGAAUGUAUAGAUUACAUGACACAAAAUUUCCAGUUGUGACAUCAUACACUUAGAAUCUCUGAAAAUUUUGCUUUACCCCUAUUCUGUGUGAAUUUGGAGUUAAGGUCACUUAUUCGAAGGCCUAUCCUGUUUCGAUUACAUAUAACUGGUAUGCACUUUACAAAUAGUGAUGUAACUAAUGAAGAUUUUCUAAAUAAUUAUCUAGAUAGUUCGUGUAAUAAUUAUUUUCUUACACCAAUUCUCGCAUAGAUAACAUGGCUGGACUCCAUCCCCACGUCAACCGGUACCUUCCAAAUGAGGUCAUUGCUAGAUGGUUUAAAGAAGAACCAGAGAAUGAUCAUCCUAUCCAUGUGAAUGAUCACCAUGAUGAAGACCUUUUGGAUGAUGCUAACUCUGAACCCGAGGUUGAGAACCUACCCCAGGCAGCUCCCUUUCCAAAUCCUAACCCUCGUCUGGCUUUUCAAAGCCCGACGCCUCAGUGGGUGGAAUGCUUGGAAACAUGGAGCCAAGGACAAGAUCAGCCCAUGCCAUUUAAUGGUGACCGAAGCUUUUAUGACCUGAGCAAUGGGGGCUCAGCAGACAGAAUCUUGCCAAUCUUGGUCCGCAGAGUGGCCCGAAAUGAGAUUCAAGGCAAGACAGCCCUACAUCAGAUCACAGAAGUUGUCGCCGAUGCGAGAAUGCAUACCCUCCACACCAUUCGUCUAGAAGAUGCUCGUGAGAGAUCUGAGAGAGACCAUGAAACCCUGUUGCAAGCACUGGCUGAAUCACAAGCCGAAGUUAUAGAGCUCUGAGUACGUCUGAGGGUGUACGAAAGACACCUACUUGAUGUGGAGCGUCAAUUGGCUGAACUGAGAGUUCACCAGAGGGAUGACCGUCUCCAGUAGUAGAUACUUUACUUAUUUUUCCUUGUUAAAAGGAAUCGUUUUUCUGUCUAUGCCCGAUGUGGCAUUUUUGUUGAAACUAUUUUGUACUGUAAGUACUUUUGGUUAGGUCUUUAUGCUGUCAAGAACUAUCUUCUCUGGAUAUGAUGUAAGACCUUUUACAAGGUCAUUUUUCCCAAACUUUUACGUCAUGUAUAUCAAUGAUUUUGACAGUUGGCUAACUUCUGUGUCAUUCUUUAUUCGAGUACUCUCAUCAUACUUUCAUUGGAGUCUAUCUGAAACAUGAUUUAGUCAAGACAUUGGACUAUAGUAAUUUAGCUCCGGAGACAUUUCCAAGUCUCUUUUAGUGGUAGGAUCAUGUUAUUCACCAACCAAUGAUACCUCGGCUUGAACGACAAACAUAUUGAGACCAUUCUAUGAACUUACUUCCACUCAUUACCAGGACUGCAUCAUAGGGAUGUAGGUGAUCCCUUCAUAAACACACUUCCACUCAAUACUAGGACUGCAUCAUGGGGAUGUAGGUCAAACCUUCGCGAACAUACUUCCAAUCCGUACUAGGACUGCAUCAUAGGGAUGUAGGUCAAACUGUCGAGAACAUACUCUUAUUCUUUACUUGAACAAUCGAAGUACAUCUAGGGUUAACCAGAAUCACUCACAAAAGCCUUAUCUUUCGUGUUACAGAAUCAUGUCGUCAUCCGGAAACAAUCAGUCGAGCAAGGAAACCCCUGUCUUUCUUAUGGACGCCGCUACCUUCCAAACCACAGUUACAGCUGCCAUGAUGGCUGCUAUAACCGCUGUCCUUGCGCACUGUAGCGCUAUCAACACAAUCAAUGCUGAUAAUGGGGUUGAAGAUUUCGAUCGUAGUAUCCAUCCAGAAAGUCAUCAAAAGGUAACAGUCGCAGGCUCGCAAAGCUGAAAAGCAUAGAACAAGAAACGAAAGCACCAAGCCCAGAAAGAACGCAAGAAAUCCCAAAAGCUGGCCAUGCAACAACAACAAGUGGAAACCCCUGCCAUCCCCGUACCGAGUAGGCCAUACAAGGGAAAACUCCCGAAGUGUGAUAAGUGUAGUUUCCAUCAUCAUGGGCUUACCAUGAGAUGCAAUGUUGCAAUUGCCUAAAAAUAGGGCACCAUGCUUGUUGCUGUGGAGCACCGGCACGACCCAUCACUCAAUCCCCUGACAUCAUAGUCAACCAGGCUUACGAUGGUGGUGUUAAAACUAGACCCUAUGAAAGGAAAAUUUCAAUGUGGAUGAACAAGGAGAACCCUCGUGUCCACGUCACUUCCAUCACUUCCAUCACCAAUGUUGGUGCUGUCCAGUUAUGUCACAAUUGUGGUGAAAUUGGACACCUCAAGAAGAAUUGCCCGAUAGCGCAGAACUCUGGCGCAGACAGGAAGAUUCUUAGGAUCACAGCUGCAGGAGAGCCUACUCCAGACCCACGUUAAUGUAAUUUAGGCGUUUCAUUGUAACAGACUUAUAAACCAUCCAAAACUAGUGCAACCAGAGUCUUACCUUUUGCGAGAUCCCGUUGGUAGGGAUGGUCGUGCUGCGUAUACUUGUCUUUUGUAGUGUACCUUAUCCGCAACAAUAAUCUUGUAGUAAGUCUAAAUUACUAUAACGCUAUUGAUGGUUGCACGGUUGUGUUUGUCUGUAACGCCUUAUGUUCAAAUCCAGUGUCUUUAAGUUUCCUUGUGAUUCUGACAUUAUCAUACGACUCGAUUCAAUUUGAUCCGCACAAAACCAGCUUCAUACGUACAUCUCUUUCUUCGAAAUCGCCUUUCCAGCGAAGCCGUCAUAUCAAAACACCGAAGUACUCAUGCAUGGGGUACCUCAUAGUUCUUUUCCUUUCCGAAGAAAUCCCCGAAGUACCAUUCGUAAAGUACGUCAAGUUCAAUCCAAAGAUCCAUACGGUUGAUCUGUCGCUGAAGAAUGUAUACAUGGGGGUGAUAUAUAAUCAAGGUUAUAUAGGUUUAGAAUUGAUGAUUCCACUUUAACUUCUUUUCCGUAAUGGGAUGUGAGCUUAAAGAAGAAUCAGUUAUUCGACUAUCUUUUCAAUCUUAAUUAUAUACAACUCGUAUACACGAGAUUGUGAUCGUUGAGCCAUGUAUGAAUUCUAAUAUGAACUUCAGGAUGGAGAACUGCACAAUGCUACGAGUAAUCGCAUCGUCAUGUGAUCAAACUUAGAACCCAGUAUGACUUCUGUAAACAGAUCGCCCUACAGUCUAAACACCUACGGAGAUACAAAAACAGUCCAGACAACUUAGCGAACUACUCAACUAUAGAAUUGGAAGACCAGGCUUCUCACCUUGGAGAGCUCUGGUCUUAUCCUUCCAGGAGUAGACAGAUUGUAUCAUAUGUGCCUCGACGAUCAGGGAUUCCGUUAAGAUUUCCAUAAGAAAUCAUUAUCUCUGCCUCGCAUAGAUGAGUUGGUUGAGCAAACACAAGGAAAGAAUUACUUUCAGAAAUGGACCUGUGAUCCGAAUAUCACUAGUUCAAGUGUUAGGGAAAGAUGUCCUGAAGACUACCCUCCGAACUCGAUUCAGACACUUCGAGUCCGUAGUGAUACCCCUCGGAUAGGACCAAUACGCCUAUAAUAUUCAUGAGCUUAAUGAGUAGGGUACGCCAUUCUUACUUAGAUCAGCUCGUCAUUCUCCUUGUAAUGACUUACUUAUCUACCCUUGUAGUAAGAAGGAACCCAUGGAAACAUUACCCUCGGAGAUACUUUUCGCAAAGUUCUCUGAACACGAGUUUUGGAAUUAAAGAGUCAAAAUUUCCUACGACACACUAUUAGUGAUGUGGAAAUUCUUGAGUACUCUGUCAAUUUAUCCAAAACCGUUGGGAAUUUGUCGGCACCAGAGACGCCAAACGAAAUUCGCCAAAUUCUAGGUCUUGCAGACCUAAUAUCGUAGUUCAUUCAGAACUCCUCGCAAAUUACAGAAACCCUUACGACUUUGACCAGCAGGGGGUGGCCCUUUACUGGGAAGUUAAGCAAGAGAAAGAACCUUUGGAAUUCCAAGUGAGAGACCAAAAUUCUUUAGGAAGUCUCUCUCUGGGAAUGGCUUAAUACGCUUCGCAUCGCGUGGAAAGCUAAAUCCAAGAUAGUCAGGACCUCCGAGAUUCUUACUAGAAUCAGUCCUGUAUCUCACAAACUAGACCUACUCCGCGAACUCAGUAAAGUACAUUUUACCCUUCACGUCUCGAUCUUGAAACCAUAGCUUUCCGUUAGGACUGUCGUAAGUCCACUCGACGAGAUCGAGGUCAACAAGAUCUUCGCCUUCGUGGAAAAACCGUAGUGACCCUCGACUGAGAGGUUAAGCGGACGAAGAAACGUUGCCUCCCUUUAGUGAAUGUUCGUUGCGAUACCAACCGAGGACCCGAAUUCACUUAUGAGCGCGAGAACCUAUCGAUUUUGAAGUUUUCCCAUCUCAUGACUAGAUCAUUCAUACCUACUUACUUGCCUAAAUUCUAAUUUCGGGACGAAAUUCCCUCUGAGAGGGGGAUGAUGUGACAACCCGAAAUUUUCCAUCUAGUACGGCCUAACACUUCUUUGAAAGUCAAACUCAUUACUGUUAUCUUUUAGCACAAUUAGAGGUUUAUUUGAGAAUUCUGAGCCUUGUACACUUGAGGAAUAAGUGUCGGGGUUAAUCGGUUGAAGUUCUAGCACAAAGAAAUGGCCAUAAGCACAUUAACCUUGAGUUCACAGCCACCACAUGGGAGUUUAUGGCCAUAAACUCCAGGUGGGCCGUAAACUCACCUUAUAUGGUGAUGUUAAAGAUCAUUUGUUCAUUUCUUUCAUUUCCUUGGCCCAAAUCCUCUCAAGUAUCAUCCGGAUCUCCAAAACUCGUAAUUAUCUUGCCAUAACUAGUUGAUAUCAUAGAUGGUCUAGUGAACUUACAUGGUUUCGUUUGUUAAAUCAUUCCGUUUUGUAGAUUUUCAAGUUACACCAAGAACACACACUAGUGUUCUUGGCCAGAAACGACCAUUCAAGCUUCUAGAUCAUAAGUGCUCUUGUUCUAACUCGUUGUACACUAGGUUUAACAUGUUUAUAGCCUAGAAAUCAUAAGGAAACACAAGAGUAAAGGAGUUUAAGGCCAAGACAUGUUCUUUGGCCGUAAACCCCUAUUAGUGGGGCAAUUUGCACUGUAACUCCUUCCUUAUGCCUAGAACCCAACUUAGAUUAUAUCCUAGAAGUGUUAAGGACCUUAAGCAUCCAAGAAACCAUGUUCCCAUAGAGUUUACGACUGUAAACUCAUAAGGAUUGGUCCUUAGGGCGUAAACUCGAUAAAGGGGUGAUAUUGUGCCCCUAAUGCUCCCACAUGGCUAGAACUUAACAUAGAAUCAAUACCCAAUGAGAUAGGAACCUAAAAACGUCAAAUGGUACUUUCUACCAUGAGUUUACAGCCGUAAACUCAUGGGGAAGUGGUACUUGGGCCGCAAACUCAAGUUAAGGUCAUUCUUGGACCUUAAACCCACCUAUCCUCUAGUUUAAGCAUUGGAACACUUAACCACUUAAACCCUUAGAGUUUUAUGCCACUUUUGGUGACCCAAUGAGAGUUUACGGCCAAGAGUUUACUCCCCUGGGCCGUAAACUCCAACAAACAUGGUCAGUAGACCAUAAACUCUCGUAUGAGGCUUCGCACUCGUUUGUUGCAACCCGAUAGCAUCCUAGCACUUGACCAAAGUGUUUUCCUCGCAAUAGGACGUUUUUACAUGUUUAAUUAGUGUUUUAAUCAAUAAAUGUUUAUAUACGUAUGUGUUCAUAUGUUAUUAGGAUCAUAGACUGUGUUCAAGACUUCACUUGACACCUUGCAAUCCUACAUCUUUAGUUCAUCCGUACCACUCACUAUAGGUGAGUUCAUACCUCUUAAUCAAUCUUUUAAAUGUUUUUAAAUGUUUUACGGGGGGNAAUGUUUUAUGGGGGGGGGAUACAAGUAGAAUCAUGCUAGUUAUUAUAUCAAUCACAUGUGAUUAAUAAGCAGCAUUCAAAUGAUUUACUACUCAUUCGCUGUUUUACCAAACAGUUUUCUUCACAUGAUUUUCAUAAACGUUUUAUAUGUUUAAAACUCCUUAUUAAACUGUUCAUUUUACACUGUAUGUUUCAUUUCAAACUCAUUUACAAUUGUGUUUCAAACAAAUGUUUCUUUAUACUUAAACUGUUUAUCAAACUGUUUUGCUUCAAACUGUUUUACAAAUUCUUAUACUUAUCAAAUACAUUUACUUAAGCUCUGUUAUACUUAUUAUCAAUUGCAUGUCUAUAUAUGUAUAGUUAUAUAAGCAAUGUUUAAAAGGCUUAGGAAGGCCUGCCCGCCUUAUUUCCUUUUCGCCGUUGAGAUGUGGUCUGGUGGGGUAUCGGGUAUCCGUCUGAAGGUUGUUUAAAUAUUAGUUAUAUAUCAUGUGUAAAUAUAUAGUCAUAAAGGUUCUUCCAGUUCAUUCAAUACCCUUGGGUAGCAAGGGUAUACUUCCAUGAUCAUACGUACCAGUUACAUCAGUAGUAAGUUACCAUUCGCUGUUUUACCAAACAGUUUUCUUCACAUGAUUUUCAUAAACGUUUUAUAUGUUUAAAACUCAUUAUUAAACUGUUCAUUUUACAUUGUAUGUUUCAUUUCAAACUCAUUUACAAUUGUGUUUCAAACAAAUGUUUCUUUAUACUUAAACUGUUUAUCAAACUGUUUUGCUUCAAACUGUUUUACAAAUUCUUAUACUUAUCGAAUACAUUUACUUAAGCUCUGUUAUACUUAUUAUCAAUUGCAUGUCUAUAUAUGUAUAGUUAUAUAAGCAAUGUUUAAAAGGCUUAGGAAGGCCUGCCCGCCUUAUUUCCUUUUCGCCGUUGAUAUGUGGUCUGGUGGGGUAUCGGGUAUUCGUCCGAAGGUUGUUUAAAUAUUAGUUAUAUAUCAUGUGCAAAUAUAUAGUCAUAAAGGUUCUUCCAGUUCAUUCAAUACCCUUGGGUAGCAAGGGUAUACUUCCAUGAUCAUACGUACCAGUUACAUCACUAGUAAGUUACCAUAGGGGUAGCAUAGGAGAUACUAAUACUAUUACUAGAACAAUGAAACAUUCAAUGAGUCAGUUCAUUCAUGAGUCAGUACAUUACUAUGCAUGCUAGAUAGAGAGGGAACAUACAUUACAGCUAGCACAUGCAUAACUUUCAGUAUAUACAGGCUAAACAGAGAAAUAGUACACUUUCAGUUAGAACAUUCAUUACAUAUACAUUCAUGCAGUUAUGUGAACCAUUGAGCGAGUCAUGGCACAUCCUACCAUGACCGCUCUUGUAUCCCGAAUCUCCUUAAUUGGGGAGCGUAUGAGUUUGUGUAUAGAUCUAUACUGGAUUGACUAUCCCAAACCUUGAUGCUCGCUACAGUGGGACUUGCAAGUCUACGGGUGCCAAACGUCAUUUGUUAUGGCGUCUUACAUCGUCGUUUUACUAGAGUCGGUAGCAGGAUACAUGUUGAACACAUGUUACUUUAAAUUACAAUAGAUUUCAGGUAGUUAGUACGGUGGUAGUUCGAUACUACACCAUAGUACUAUUUCAUUUUCCCAUUACAUUCACUUCGUGAACAUUCACACGAUGCACGGUAAUGUAGAAGCUAUAUUUUUGGUUAAUGAUAGUUAGAUUUGGGAAAAUACACACUCUUAGAGGAGACACACAUAGAUACUAGAUGCCUUGGUAGAAGGCUACUCUCAGUAGGAAGCAUAGGGCUUUCUAGGAUGUUCAAAACGUUUUCAUACUUACAUUUCAUAUACAUACAAAUACUUACAUUUCAUAUACAUACAAAUACUUACAGUUCAUAUACACACAAAUACUCACAUACAACUUAAGACACUAAAAUACUUAUGAUCUCACCAGCUUUAAAUCUGAUACUCUCUUUCAAAAUAACUUGUAUCCUCAGGUCAACAGUAGACAAGUACAGAUGCAAGGUUUAGAGAAGAUGAAGCUCGUUCAAGACUCAUCUUUCAUUUUGUUUUAUACUUUAGUGUCUAUUAUAAUUUGACAGAACACACUUGUAUUAAAAUUAUAUUAUUAAUGCAAUGGAUGAUGUUGUUGCUUAUUUACUACUUUGCAUUGUUUUGUUACUGUAUAUGACGUCCUCCGCCCCAGAACGUUUCCGCCAUUCAUGGUUUUGGGGUGUUUUUUGGGUGUUGCUUGUUUACUACCUUGGCAGCCUGACCUCCUUGAUCCUUAUUGUCUUAAGAAGUUUUUCUACUUCUUCUUGGAGGAUAUAAUGUUUUUUGGGUGCAAACUUCCUUCUGUCUUGAUGUAUGGUUCUGAAAGAACAAUCAAUGUUAAGUUUGUGAGUUAUAAUAUUUUUGUCUAUAGCUAUCAUGUGUUCAUGCUUCAUUGCAAAGGUUCUCCUUCUUUCUUUGAGGAACUUUAUAAUAACUUCUUCUAUGCUUUCUGGCAUUGAGGAUCCAAUGAUUAUUUUCGCAUCGGGAUCCUUAAGGUCAAGGGGCACUUCUUUUGUAUCUUGUUUUUCGGAUUCUAGUACAUCUCAUGCCCUUUGCUUUAAAUUCUAUGCUUAUUGGGGGAGUAGAAGUCUUCAUUGACGUAUUAUUGCACUCUUUAGAUUCUUCUUGGUCACUUGUGAUCUUCAAUGUCCCCCAUGGGGUGGGAAACUUUACACAUUGAUUGUAUGUUGAUGAGACCGCAUUUAUGUUGUGGAUCCAUGACCUUCCUAAUAUAACAUUAUAGGCGGGUAGUUUAUCAUUUACACAAAAUUGUGGCAUAGAGCUUACCCCCUCCAUGUAGAUAGGCAACUUCAUUUUGUUGAUCAUAUGCUUUUUUUUUCGCCACUGAAUCCUAUUAGCACUAAGGAUCUUUUGACUAAUUCAGACACGAGGAUGUUCAUUCUUUUUAAAUCAUCUUGGAGUAUAGUGUUGAUCGAGGAUCCUCGAUUGACCAUGAUACUUCUAAGAAAAUGGUUUGUAAUGUAAAGUGUGAUGACCAGUCCAUCUUGAUGAGGAUCCCAGAUGUCUACACUAUUUGUUUCGGUGAAGGUGAUCUCCUUCUCAUUUGUGAUUUAUGUAUUCUUUUGAUUUCUUUCUGCAGAAUAAGAGGUACUACAUAUGUCAAAUCCUCCCGAGAUAAUAUUGAUUACCUUGGCGUCUGUAGGAGGAGAUCCUGGUUUCUCUAGGAUUUUAUGAGGAUCCAGAUCAUUUUCUUUGGAUCAUUCUUUUCUCCAUCCCAGGAUCUCUUUGAGAUAUCCCUUGCUGAUUAGGUAACUGAUCUCCUUCCUGAGGGCUAUGAGAUCUUUAGUAACAUGACCAAUUUCCUUGUGCUAUGCACACUAUUUUGACUUAUCUUUCCCGGUGGUGGACUUUUUUCCCUUUUUUGGCCAUCCUGCUUUGUCGCCAAGAUCCUGCAUAGCAAAUAUUAAACCUGAAACAUCCACAGGAAAUAAUUAAUCAAUGAUCUUAGAAAAUUCUUCUUCCUCCCUUUCAUCUUCAACGGAAUAUACCCUAUGAUGAUGUGGUUUGGAAUAAGGUUCAUACUUUUAGGAUCUUUGGGUCGAGGAUUCGGCCUUCCAAUUGGGGUUAUCAUAGGAGUGCGGUAGGUUUCUGCUUUUUUGAUUUCCUUGUCUUCUUAGAUCCUUUUGAAUCUUAGUUCCUUGUUUCUCACUUCGUCCAUUCUUUCGCAUGGAGUCAUUACAUGGUCUUCAUAGAAAGGAGAGUCCUUUUUCAAGCCCAUUUUGAAUGUUUCUACGGAAGUUUCCAGAUCGAUGUUGUGGAUACCCAAGGCUUCCUUAUAAAAACUGUUCACAACAUCCAUAAGGGAUUCCUUAGGAUCCCGAACUACCCGGUAAAGAUCACAAGUGAUCUUCUCGAACGUUCUUUUACAAGAAAAUUGGUUGUUAACAGUAUUAACUAAGUGAGCAAGCAAUGUAAUAGAGUAAGAAGGAAUGUUAAGCAGCGAAUUUAAGUAUGAUCUCGUGAGAUUUGAAUCGAAACUGCUUCAUAGGCAAGCAUUUUUCAAAUGUGUGGGCUGGGGAUGAUCUCUAUUCUUCCCUAUAUGGUAACACAUGUUCUUCAGGAUCCACAGUCCUGUCGUAAGGCUUCAUGCUCGGAGUUUGGAAGCACUUCAGGACUUCUGUAUAACCAAUCACAAGAGAAAAUAUUGAGAUCAUGUUGCUUGUUGGGGAAACAUCUUGUAUAGGUUGGACUACUAUGGGUACACUUGAGAUCACCUGUCUUAACUGUUGGAGUUCCUUGGCUAUGACCGGUCUCAUUCCUACGUCAAGGUCCAUAAAGUUAGUAUUAAAAGUAUUAUUAUUCACGACGAUACCAUAAUCCUUGUUAUUGGAAAUGAUGAAGGUUUUAUCGGGAUCCUAGACUACUGGAGCUCGCUCAUUUGGAGUUGAAGCCCAAGUAGGAGUUAGGGUUGGUGUUGAGAAUCUUAUCUCCGAGUGGUUUCCGUGGAUCCUGUAUUUUCAAUGUUCAUGAUCCUCGGCUGCAAUAUCGAGGGUGCCGCCUCUUGGGGCUUGUGGAUCUCCGUCCUCCUUUUCUCUAUUUCCUUGAGUACUUUCCUGUUGUCCUCUUUAUGUUGAGUAACCUGGUGUUCCAGUCUCUUCAUGAUAGCAAAGAGCUCAUUAUUGGAAAUCACUACACGAGAAUGCUGAAAUCCUUGGGAAGGGACUGGAGAGGUGUUUUCCUUCAGUGCCUCUAAAGUCUUCUUGGGAGCUCCGCUUUGAGCCGGUGGAAGGUUUAUAGAGGAAAUGGAAUGAAUGGAGGAAGAGGAUAACAUUGGUAGGGUAGACAUGAUUCACGAAUGAUGAUGAACACUACGAACCCACGAUGGGUGCCUAAUUGUUUUGGUCAAAAUUUUAUCAAAUAAUAUUCAACAAAAUUGUAUGAGAGGUUGUGGUCUUGUGGGUGAAGUGAUUAAUGAAACUAGAACAAUGUUGCACAAGUGGUUUAAAAGGGAAGCCUUAGUCCUUUAUAGGAUCUCCGACAUAAAAACUUGGGCGUUGAUAAUGAUCACCUUCCUUGUUGCUUUUAUUGAUUUGUGUCACACCCCCAAACCAAGGAUGGCGGAAACGUCUCGGGGUGGAGGACUUCAUGUAUAGUAUCACAACAACAUGUAUAAUAGUGCUCAAAGUAAAUACAACCAUCAUUAAUAUAAUUGAAAAAGUUACACCAAUGUAUAUAUUUACAUAUUUCAAAUCAGUUUCAUUAUGAUGACAAAAUGAACUGUUGGACGAUUUAUCGUCCCAUCCUCAAAACGCUGUUGAUUUCCUGUUUCACUGAAUUCAUGAGAAUACAAGUAGUUUUGAAAAAGUGUCAACACAAAGGUUGGUGUGACAACCCGAAAUUUCCAUUCUGAACAUACCAUAUCAAGCCAAUAGAUGUAGAUCAGUUACAGUGAAAAUUCAGACUCCGAGUGUAAGUUAGGCAGUUUUCAGGAUUUACACUUAAGAAGAUAUUAGGAGAGUGGUUGCACUAGGGUUUUGUGCAACACUGUUAUUCCAAGACUCUAGGACAUUAGAGUUCAUUCCAGGAAUAAAAAUAUUUUCUGCCAAAAAUAUUUCAGGACUAUAAAUAGAAUUCUGAACCAAAUUGGUUCAUUUGUUGAAUUCCAAUUAGAGAAAAGCCAAAUUUCCUCUCAUGGAUCUUCAGGUUUUUAUCCCAGAUUGUGAGUAUACUUCUCUAGUUGUUUUAUACUACUUGUUUUAAGCUUAUUAACAUAGUUUGUAUGUCAAAAACAUGAGAUCCGGGAGUUUACCCCCUAAGAACGUUCUUGGGGAGUAAACUCCAAAAUCAAGCCUAAAGGCCAUUUAGUCCCAUUUCCUUGUUAGGUAACUAGCUUAGGAUGAUAUGUAUGAACAUUUGAGACUAGAAAUCAAUCAAGAACACUUAGCCUUAGGAGUUUACGGCCCAAGAGAUUCUUGGACCGUAAACACCAAUUUCAAGGGUUUAAAUGUGCCCUACUUCCCCCAAAGGCUAGGCUUCAUUAUAGACAUGUAUACUAAUGUGUUUAGAACCUAGAAAACAUAAGAAAAGCACAAGUAUUGAAGAGUUUACGGCCAAGAGUGGUUCCUGGGCCGUAAACUCCUAUAAAGGGGUCAAAGGACACCCUAAACUCUUCCUUGAGCCAAGAAACAAUUUGGGCAUGUACCUAAAUGUAUUAUGGACUAGCUAAAACACUUAGAACCCCAAAAGUGAGGGAUUUUACGGCCCAAAAGGUUCUAUGGCCGUAAACUCCAAGAAAUGGUACCAAAUGGUGCCAUAAACUCUUCCAAAGCCAAGUACAAAAGCCUAGAAUUGUUCCUAGUUAUUAUAGAGACUUGAAAGCCUCAUAAUCACCCUCCCAAGGGAGUUUACGACCAUAAACUCCAAGGGAAAAGGGUCUUUGGGCCGUAAACUCCCCUUAGGAGUCAAUAUGGUGCCUUAAACUCUUGUCUAGCCUUGAAGCAAUUCCCCUCUAAGGUUGUAGUACUUCUAAACUCCAUUUCAUGGCUUGUUUGAGAGUUUACGGCCAGGAGCUUACUCCCCUGGGCCGUAAACUCNNNNNNNNNNNNNNNNNNNNNNNNNNNNNNNNNNNNNNNNNNNNNNNNNNNNNNNNNNNNNNNNNNNNNNNNNNNNNNNNNNNNNNNNNNNNNNNNNNNNNNNNNNNNNNNNNNNNNNNNNNNNNNNNNNNNNNNNNNNNNNNNNNNNNNNNNNNNNNNNNNNNNNNNNNNNNNNNNNNNNNNNNNNNNNNNNNNNNNNNNNNNNNNNNNNNNNNNNNNNNNNNNNNNNNNNNNNNNNNNNNNNNNNNNNNNNNNNNNNNNNNNNNNNNNNNNNNNNNNNNNNNNNNNNNNNNNNNNNNNNNNNNNNNNNNNNNNNNNNNNNNNNNNNNNNNNNNNNNNNNNNNNNNNNNNNNNNNNNNNNNNNNNNNNNNNNNNNNNNNNNNNNNNNNNNNNNNNNNNNNNNNNNNNNNNNNNNNNNNNNNNNNNNNNNNNNNNNNNNNNNNNNNNNNNNNNNNNNNNNNNNNNNNNNNNNNNNNNNNNNNNNNNNNNNNNNNNNNNNNNNNNNNNNNNNCAUCAAUCACAUGUGAUUAAUAUACAACAUUCAAAAGAUUUGGCUACUCAUUAGCCGUUUUACCAAACAGUUUCCUUCAAAUGAUUUUUAUAAACAUUUUAUAUGUUUUAAACUCCUUAUUACACUGUACAUCUUACUCUGUACAUUACCUUUCAAACUUAUUUACAACUGUGUUUCAAACAAAUGUUUCCUUAUACUUAAACUGUUUUAUCAAACUUAUGCCUUCAAAUUGUUUUAUAGAUUGACAUCAAGUCGAUCUUUUCUUAAAAUAAUAAUUAUGUUCAAAUGUCUUACAAAACUUAUUUAUGCUUUUAUAUUAUAAAUUGCAUGCCUCUAUAUGUAUAGUUAUAUAAGAAAUGUUUAAAAGACUUAGGAAGGCUAUCCACCCUAUUUCCUUUUCGCGCCUUGAGAUGUGGUCUGGUGGGAUAUCGGGUAUUCGUCCGAAAGUCGUUUAAAUAUUAGUUAUAUAUCAUGUGUACAUAUAUAGUCAUAAAAGGUCCUUCCAGUUCAACAUAUGCCCUUGGGUAGCAAGGGUAUACAUCCAUGUCCAUACUUACCAGAUAGAUUACUAGUAAACUACCAUAUGGGUAGUUUAGGAAGAUACUAGAACAAUUACUAGAACAUGAUAUCAUACAAAUGAGUCGGUUCAUUCAUGAGUCAAUACCUAUUAGAACAUUACAGUACAAUUACUAUACUUGCUAGAUAGAGAAAACACACAUUACAACUAGCACACGUAGAACAUUACAGUACAAUUACUAUACUUGCUAGAUAGAGAGAACACACAUUACAGCUAGCACAUGUAGAACAUUACAGUACAAUUACUAUACUUGCUAGAUAGAGAGAACACACAUUACAGCUAGCACACGUAGAACAUUACAGUACAAUUACUAUACUUGCUAGAUAGAGAGAACACACAUUACAGCUAGCACACGUAGACCAUUACAGUACAAUUACUAUACUUGCUAGAUAGAGAGAACACACAUUACAACUAGCACACGUAGAACAUUUCAGUACUCUACUAUACUAUUACAUGAUCACACUUAUAGGAGUAAUUUUACAUAGAUAUAUCAGGAGGAGUCCUAUUACAUUUUAUAUGUAUCGACUCUGUUAUCAAAUCCUCAUUCUUACCUUUACCUUAUGAUACAAUCACAUAUUUGACGAGAUAGAAUGGAUUUAAUAUCCUAGUACCAAAGGAUACGAUUGUGGGAUUGACCAUUCCUAGAAUCUCUGUUAGCUACAGAGGUAAAAGCACAUCCACGGAUGUCAACGGUUGGUACCAUUACAGGUAUACUUUAAGGGAUUCACUAUUCCUAUACCCAGCUAUUAGCAACAGAGGUAAGAGCACGUCUGCGGAUGUCUUAAAGUUAACAAUGUUAGUUACCCUAGUACCAAAGGGUAAUAUUCAGGUUAGUUGUAUUAUUACCUUUAUUUUGUGACUCAUUCACAUAACUAAUGAGGUGAAUUAUAUUUAAGUAUCCUAGNGAUACAAUUUCUUAUAAUGAUAAUAAUAGUAACACAGUUAGGUCUUGGUAGAAGACUACAUUAAGAACAUUUAGGUCUUGGUAGAAGACUACAUUCAGAACAAUUAGGUCUUGGUAGAAGACACCUUCAUAUACUAAUAGGAAUCAUAGGGAUUCUAGGGUUUUUCAAACACUUACAGUUCAUAUACACUUUCAAUACUUACAAUACAUAGACUUACAAAUUCUUGCAUACAAAUUAAGACACUAAUUACUUAUGAUCUCACCAGCUUCAAAGCUGAUACUCGCUUUCAAAAUUACUUGUAUCCUCAGGUCAUCAUAGACAGGUACCGAUCCAACUUUUCUGAUGAAAGCUGUUAGAAAAGUUUAGUUAUGUUCUUGGUGUUUUAACUUGUAUUCCCCCCCUAAACACUUGAGAAAACAUGAAAAGGUAGGGGUAUGAACUCACCUUGAGUGAUUUCAGUAGAUGAGUGUUGAAGAAGAGAAGUGUUCAACUCAAGAACACUUGAAGAUUCGAAGAUCUAUCAAGAAUGUAAUGAUGUUUGUGUAAGGAAUCAUUGAUUUCAUGGUGAAAGAAUGAGAAAAUGAGAGAAGUGUAAGGAGAGAGGAGGGUUUUCUUACCCUUGACCAAGUGUGUGGCUGAAAAAUGGUGGGAAAAGUACCAUGAAAUGAGUAGGUAUGGGCUGAUGGUGAAUAGUGACAUGGAGUGGGUAUGGGAGUGGUUGCUUGUGUCAUAGAAUAAAGGGAAGUCAACACUCCACCUCUUGUACUUCACCCACUCUUCUUGGAAAAGGUUUUAUCCUUAAAAACGCGAUUAAUUAAUAAUUAUGGGGUCUUAUAUGUUAACAUAAAGUUUUGGGUGAAAAUCCCGUGUUAAAACAUUUAAAAACGAGCCUAAAACGCAAAACUAGUCGAAAACCGGAAAGAAAUCGACUUCCAGCGAGGCCUCUCGGUCCUAGGCCGAGGUUCGGUCCUCCUGAUGCUAGGCGCGAAGCGAAGGAAGCGAAAGCAGCAAGAAGCGAAGGCAUGCUCGGUCCGAAGGAGUCAGAAGCGAAUUAGACCGAAGUGAACAGUAACUUCGGGUUCGGGUGUGUGCGAGGUUCGGUCCUGGGAGGACCCUUCGGGUUCGGUUCUUUGAGCGAGGUUCGGGUCCGAGAGCACCCCUUCGGGUUCGGUCGUCUUGGUUUCGGUCCAUAAGAGGUCUUUCGGGUCCUAAGAGGCUUCGGCCCUAUUAAGAGGGUUUCGGGUCCUUAAGCCGUUUUCGUCCGUUCUUGCCCCGUUUUAAGCCGUUUUUGACCUGUUUAAGGGUCGGAAUGACCCGAAUGACUUCAGAAAGUUGCGGGAACUUUUGAGAGAGAUUUGGGAGAGAUUUCACAUUCUUGGAGAGAUUUCUCAUACAAAGAGAGAUUUGGGAGAGAUUUCACAUUCUUAGAGAGAUUUCUCAUACAAAGAGAGAUUUGGGAGAGAUUUCACAUACUUGGAGAGAUUUCUCAUACAAAGAGAGAUUUGGGAGAGAUUUCACAUUCUUAGAGAGAUUUCUCAUACAAAGAGAGAUUUGGGAGAGAUUUCACAUACUUGGAGAGAUUUGGGAGAUAUUUGACAUUCUUGGAGAGAUUUCUCAUACAAAGAGAUAUUUGGGAGAAAUUUCACAUACUUGGAGAGAUUUCAAAAUAGAGAGAGAUAGAGUGAAAACGAUUGAGAGAGGUUUCAUUUGUGACCUUUUUGAGUGUCCGGCUUUGCAAUGUAAAGUCCGUAAACUCUGUUAAGCCUUGUUUAAGGAUCUUACACACUCCCGAUGAGUAUGCAACUUUAUUUUAUCGGUUUGGCUCGCCACGUACCACAGUUUUAGGUUAAGGAGAUCUAGAUGUACGCACUUUUCGAUUUAUGAUCUCUCAUUAGAAUAACGGGUUGUUUAGAAAUUACAUAAUGUAAACUCUAGUACCCAUGGGCAAAUCGAGUCGAACGGUUUGACUUGUUGACUUCAGUUGACUUUGACUUGACCGGAAAUUGACGGUUGUCACAUCAUUCCCCCGUUAGAGGGAAUUUC